CGACCAGCCAAUCGCAGGGACGCUCUCUCAGUCACGUGACGUCACAUACGAAGAAAGCGCAUCUGGAUCGGUUCUGACCCGAAGCGGCACAGACGUCAUAACGGCCCUCUGAGGGGAAACCAGAACAACGAUGCGGCCCGCGGGAAAAACGAGUUUGACGCCCCUGACGUAGAUGAAGAUGGCACUUGGGAACCGGACGCUAAUCGCCGCCAGAGGCGGAAGCGGAAAUGGCUGACCUCGUAAUUGCCGUGUUGCUAGCGAGUGAAAUUAGUUGGCGGACAAAAAUGGAACAACAGAGUAUGUGGUUGCUCUCCUGCAGGCACAGCGUGCACGAAGAAGGUCCAGUAUUAAAAUGAGGCCCUCUUGAUUGUACAGUACGCUAACUAACACCGACGCUAGCUCCAAGGGCUACAGCAGG